rnacentral:rRNA from 1 species
CGUAGGUGGCAAGCGUUGUCCGGAUUUACUGGGCGUAAAGGGCGUGCAGGCGGUCUAUUAAGUCGAGGGUGAAAGCUCCCGGCUCAACUGGGAGAGGUCCUUGGAUACUGGUGGACUUGAGGGAUGCAGAGGAAAGUGGAAUUCCCGGUGUAGUGGUGAUAUGCGUAGAUAUCGGGAGGAACACCAGUGGCGAAGGCGGCUUUCUGGGCAUUUCCUGACGCUGAGACGCGAAAGCGUGGGGAGCGAACCGG